GAACAUAGAGAACGGUGGGGGUAAAUAAGGGGAGCCUGAAGUUUCUGCUCUGUGCUUGCGUGUUCGAAUCCCAUCGCUGAGACUUUCUUCUGCUUUGGAUCGCUUGUCCCAGGCUGACGCCGCGCUGCGACCUCUCCCCUCGUAGGAGCCUAACGCCAACCCCUGCGCCAGGCAGGGAUGGAAUCAUCAUUCUCAUUGUAUAGAUGGACACUGAGGCUCGAGAACGGAAACGACUUCUUUUGAGAACAAAAGCUCAGACCGCUGAGAUGUUCACUCUGCACUUUCAGCAGCACUCACAUUGAGAUAUGAGAAGACUGCAACAAGAACAAAAGGGUUGUGCCACCUCCUUUGGAUGUGAAGAGGAUGUGCUGACACGUGUGCUCGGGAGCCAGACUUUGUGGCCUUGGGGAAAGGACUGAAUAUUUCUGUGCUUCGUCGUUUGCAUCUGUGGAAUGCAGGUGAUACUGAGCUCUUCCUUGUGGGAUUAUUGCCUGGAAAUACACCAUUAUAGGUUCAUCGCCGCCAGGUUUACCGCGACACUCGGCGUUCUCGGGCCUCAGCGGAAUGGGUUUUAAACCGCGGAGGGAGGCCCAGGCGGAGAGGGUGUAGGCCCACUUUUCUCACUCGUGUCUAAGCAGGCCUUGUCCUGGCGGCAGCCAAGGUGAAGGCAGACGCUGUUUCCGGGAUCCAGUGGACCAGGCCAGGCCAGGGGAUUUGGGCGUGGGCCUCCGAGGCGGCAGUGGGUGGUCCAGGGGCAUUGUGAAGCCGUCAGGCACUGUGGAUGGGGAAGUGCAGGGCCCGCCUGCAGCACUGAAGUUUGGAAAGGCCAAAUACUGCUCCUAACCCGUGCGGCAAGGACUGCCCCAUUCAGUAAGCGGGGCAAAGUCCCGCCUUGACAAGCCUCUCUGUAGUUUCCCUGUGUGCUACACCUGGGCUGCUUCUGCUCGCUUCUUUGAAAAUGGAGAGGGGAGCAGAGGGAAGAACCUUGCAGGUUAUUCACAGGGAACUGACCCUAGGCAGUCAUGUCAGAUUGUUUGCAUGUACUUGUGCACGCGUUUUCAAAUGCAUAAAACCCUGUGCAUGUUUCAAAUGUGUAAACACGUAAGCAUUUUUAUUUGUAUUUCUAUUUCUUUUAUUUAUUUAUUUAUUUAUUUAUUUAUUUAUUUUCUUUUGAGACGGAGUUUCCCUCUUGUUGCCC
rnacentral:lncRNA from 10 species